AGUACCGUGAAAAACUUGAAAUUAUAAUUUGAUGUUCAUAUGUAAAUGACCUAUGUGAACAAAUCCAUGAAUAUAUGAACAGAUCAAGUUAUACAUAAUAUUACCUGUAUUUAUAUGUGAAUGGUCUUUAUAUGAACCUUAUCAUAUAUAUAUAUAUAUAUUCAGUGAACUGAAGUGAGAAGUGAAGGGAGCUCCCUUCAGCCCACUCAUGGAUGCGAUGAAGGAAUAGAAUUAGCUGCCGACUCAUUCAUUUAACCGGUCAGUAGUAGCUAGAUCGGAAGGAAUCCUACUCAACAGUUUAUUAUGCGCUACUUUUUGAUUAAUUGAAUGAUGCGGGAGAUAGUUUCUUCCUUUGCUAAUCUAUGCUUGGACUGAAGGGAGCUCCCUCUCCCGCGGCCUCCCUCAAUAUAAAUAUAUAUCAUCCAUUUUUCCUUUUUACGAGCUAACUGGUAGCUGUCAUAUAUUAAUAACUACUAACUACUUGCUAUCGGGCUAGCUAGACUGCGAUAGUUUCUUAAUUAAGUAAUGCUUAUACAAUUUAAUUAUAAUAGAUAUAUACAAAAAUAUGUGUGUGAAGAAGUUGUGUGUUAUAUAUAUGCGUGUUUAAUAAUCUUUUAUUGAUAAUGUGAUUUAUCUUCAUGCAAGAUAUAUAUCUUUAUCUUUUACCGUAUAUUACUAUAAAUAAAUUAAUCAAAUGAAAAUAUUUAAAAUUUUAAUUAGAACUUGCCUAAAUCAAACUUAGAAAUUUUAUCGUUUUUGAGCGUUCGUUUCACAGGACUGCUAGCCAUUACAUCCAUACGGUUAGGCAGUCAUUAGCGAUCGAUCCACGGAGUCAGGGACCACAGGGGAGGGAAACUUACCAAUUUAACCGCUAUAGAAGGCACGACGUUAAUUUGGAGGUAAAACCUCGUCUGCUCAGACUCGAUCCCUGGUCUCCCAGGAUCUAAGUAUCAUUGUAGGAUUUCGGAAUGCUGCUGGGGUUUGGAAAGGAACUUAGAAAUAUUAUCUAGCUAGCUAGCCAAUUAAUAAAUUACUAUUCAUUAUCAGUAAAUCUUAAACAUUCGAUUUCGAAUAACUUUUUUAAGAAAGAUACGUUACAAUAUAGUUACAAAAUAAUUAACAACUUUUUGGGUUACGUAAUUUUAUAUUUUAAUUUAAUUAUUGUAAAUUUUAUAACAAUAAUCAUUAAUUUCAACCGUCAAAGCUAUCACUUUGGUGGUCAUGUCGCGCACUUGCCUCUGUCGCAUCGCAUCUUACAGUUCACAAGUUCGCUGGUUCUUACUACCUAAACAGGGAAGCAAUACUGUCUCAAAAUUCAUUUCACUGGCCAGCAUGUCAUGUGGAUCGAUAUGAUAAUACGGAGUAAUAUUAAUAUAUCCCUAGAUAUAUAUGUUUUUGGAAGUCUAGCUUGUAUAUAUAUAUGUUUUUGGAAGUCUAGCUUGUAUAUAUAUAUGUUGCCUUCUGGCUUCAUUAUUGUCGAGGAUAACAUAUAAUUAAAUUAACAAUAUAAAAUAAGGCUUGUUGGUGGACUGUCGAACGA